UAGAACCUGUCUCAGUCGGGUUUCCUAGCCUCAAGCUAUAAUUGUUCAUUACCUCCUCAAUCACCCGGGUGAACGUCUAUUCCUUCUGCCGGCUCUUCCGAGUUUCUUCGCCCAGCAACUAGAAAACAUUUCUUGAAUUAUAAUUUCUAUUCUACAUUCUAAAGAAUAAAAAUCAUGAAUAGCUCGGUUUUCAUUGUCUUGCUGUCCAUGAUGAUUAUAGCAUCCCAAGGAAAUCCACUUCCACCAGAACUUUGUUAUCCAGACGAGACACCCGAUGCCCUAACCAGCCCACAGGGUGAAUGUAUCUAUCGUGGCAAAGAGUUCCUUCCUGGGCAAGUCAUUAAAGAUCAUGGCUAUCACUACAAGAUUAAGUGUACAUCAUCUGGGCAAGUUGUGCACUGCCACAAAGCAAUCAACUAGACUGAAAGACAAAGAAGUGGAGUGGGGAACGGAGAUCUAGAAACUAUAACUAGCCCUAAUAAAUGAUAAGACAUAAUC